AUCAGCUUACGCAUCAAGGCAAUUAGCGCAUUGGCGAGCCUAAAAACCGCCAUAGUCGACAUUCAAUUACUUGUGUGGGGUGCAAUGUUGUAUCAGCUGGUUAACAUCAAUUUCGACUGUCACAAAAAGGCUAUAGGGAAACCUUCGGCGGAAUUUGGUGGUCGGGAUUGAGGUUUGCAACGAAUACCUUUAGGGCUGCUCAACUGGUCUGGCCACUCCCUCUUUAGUUAUCAUAUAUGUGAUGCGUUCCGCUAAUUAGGGGUGGUUAGUCAGGUGGUGCAAAUUCGUUAAGGAUGUUAACGAAAUGGCUUU
rnacentral:rRNA from 1 species